rnacentral:rRNA from 1 species
GGUGGUUAUUGCGGCGGGGCCCCACCUCUUCCCAUUCCGAACAGAGCAGUUAAGCCCGCCAUCGCCGAUGGUACUGCAAUGCAAUGCGGGAGAGUAGGUAGCCGCCU